AUUGAACGCUGGCGGCAUGCCUUACACAUGCAAGUCGAACGGCAGCACGGGGGCAACCCUGGUGGCGAGUGGCGAACGGGUGAGUAAUGCAUCGGAACGUGUCCUUUUGUGGGGGAUAACCAGUCGAAAGAUUGGCUAAUACCGCAUGAGAUCGAAAGAUGAAAGCGGGGGACCGUAAGGCCUCGCGCGAGAGGAGCGGCCGAUGCCCGAUUAGCUAGUUGGUGGGGUAAAAGCCCACCAAGGCGACGAUCGGUAGCUGGUCUGAGAGGACGACCAGCCACACUGGGACUGAGACACGGCCCAGACUCCUACGGGAGGCAGCAGUGGGGAAUUUUGGACAAUGGGGGAAACCCUGAUCCAGCCAUGCCGCGUGUGUGAAGAAGGCCUUCGGGUUGUAAAGCACUUUCGGACGGAACGAAAUUGCGCGGGCGAAUAUCCCGCGUAGAUGACGGUACCGUAAGAAGAAGCACCGGCUAACUACGUGCCAGCCGCCGCGGUAAUAC
rnacentral:rRNA from 1 species